rnacentral:rRNA from 1 species
GAGCCAGACUCCUACGGGAGGCAGCAGUGGGGAAUAUUGGGCAAUGGACGCAAGUCUGACCCAGCAACGCCGCGUGAAGGAAGAAGGCUUUCGGGUUGUAAACUUCUUUUAAGGGGGAAGAGCAGAAGACGGUACCCCUUGAAUAAGCCACGGCUAACUACGUGCCAGCAGCCGCGGUAAUACGUAGGUGGCAAGCGUUGUCCGGAUUUAUUGGGUUUAAAGGGUGCGUAGGCGGGACGUUAAGUCAGCGGUAAAAAGGCGGAGCUCAACUCCGUCGAGCCGUUGAAACUGCCGUUCUUGAGUGAGCGAGAAGUAUGCGGAAUGCGUGGUGUAGCGGUGAAAUGCAUAGAUAUCACGCAGAACUCCGAUUGCGAAGGCAGCAUACCGGCGCUCAACUGACGCUGAAGCACGAAGGCGUGGGUAUCGAACAGGAUUAGAUACCCCAGUA